GAGUAAUGUCUGGGAAACUGCCUGAUGGAGGGGGAUAACUACUGGAAACGGUGGCUAAUACCGCAUAACGUCGCAAGACCAAAGAGGGGGACCUUCGGGCCUCUUGCCAUCAGAUGUGCCCAGAUGGGAUUAGCUUGUUGGUGAGGUAACGGCUCACCAAGGCGACGAUCCCUAGCUGGUCUGAGAGGAUGACCAGCCACACUGGAACUGAGACACGGUCCAGACUCCUACGGGAGGCAGCAGUGGGGAAUAUUGCACAAUGGGCGCAAGCCUGAUGCAGCCAUGCCGCGUGUAUGAAGAAGGCCUUCGGGUUGUAAAGUA
rnacentral:rRNA from 3 species